CGUCACUCCUUGGAAGAUUACGUAGCACUCAAGGUCUUCCAUUAGCCUUGGUAACUCUGUUUCAGAGAUGACAAAGGGCUGCCGAGUUGGAAGGCAGAACUCAAGGGUUCUCAAUGACCUCACAGCGGCCUCUUGCGGAAACUAUCGCAUCUUACCACUUCAGAAGGAGCUGGCGCAAUGGACAGAAGUGUGUAUUUCUACGUGGAUUUCUUCUCGUGGCUCGAGGCAGUCAAGUUGUACAGCUAAGAAGUUUCCGUUCAACUCAUUGCUUCCGUUUUCUUGGGGGAAACCAUAUUGGUAGAUCUAGGGAUAUCGCAACUGUUUGGAAGGUACCCGGAGCUAUAGAUGGAUCUGCCUCAUUUGCAUGAUGAUUUGAAUUACCAGUUAAAAGAGCACAGGAUGAUCAAGCCUGGUCUCCAGUUCUGGAUCAUCAAGCUACCAGAGGCUUCAUCUAGGACAUCAAGAGCAGCUAGAGCAACCAGACGACUCUCAUCAUUCAGCUGACCUACCAGCAUCUCUAUGCCCCAAUGGGCAAAAUUAUCAGCACCCGCACGAACCAGCGUUCGAAGAAACUGUGUGGCAUACAUUCGAGCAGAUUCCUGACAUCCUGUCAAAAUUUUGUUAAAUAUUGAUCUGAAAUGAACAAUACAGGAUUAACAAAAGGUCCAAUUGACCGUUUGUAAAUGCUUACCUCUACUGUGUUAAAAAAGUAUACCUAUGUAAUAAAAAUUUUAAUAAUUUA